GACGAACGCUGGCGGCGUGCUUAACACAUGCAAGUCGAACGGAAAGGCUCCAGCUUGCUGGAGUACUCGAGUGGCGAACGGGUGAGUAACACGUGGGUAAUCUGCCCUGCACUCUGGGAUAAGCCUGGGAAACUGGGUCUAAUACUGUAUAUGACCUUUCUCCUUAUUUGGUUUGGUGGAAAGUUUUUCGUUUUAGGAUGAUCCCGCGGCCUAUCAGCUUGUUUGUGGGGUUAUGGCAUACCAAGGCGACGACGGGUAGCAGGCCUGAGAGGGUGAUCGGCGAAAUUGGGACUGAGAUACGGACCAGAAGCCUACGGGAGGCAGCAGUGGGGAAUAUUGCACAAUGGGCGGAAGCCUGAUGCAGAGACGCAGCGUGAGGGAUGACGGCCUUCGGGUUGUAAACAUAUUUCAGAAGGGACGAAGCGUAAGUGACGGUACCUGAAGAAGAAGCACCGGCUAACUAUGUG
rnacentral:rRNA from 1 species